UACGUAGGGUGCAAGCGUUGUCCGGAAUUAUUGGGCGUAAAGAGCUCGUAGGCGGUUUGUUGCGUCGGCUGUGAAAUCCCGAGGCUCAGCCUCGGGUCUGCAGUCGAUACGAGCAAACUAGAGUGUUGCAGGGGAGACUGGAAUUCCUGGUGUAGCGGUGAAAUGCGCAGAUAUCAGGAGGAACACCGGUGGCGAAGGCGGGUCUCUGGGACGGUACUGACGCUGAGACGCGAAAGCGUGGGGAGCGAACAGG
rnacentral:rRNA from 1 species